UACAGAGGGGGCAAGCGUUGUUCGGAAUUACUGGGCGUAAAGGGCGCGUAGGCGGCCGCCUAAGUCAGACGUGAAAUCCCUCGGCUCAACCGGGGAACUGCGUCUGAUACUGGGUGGCUUGAAUCCGGGAGAGGGAUGCGGAAUUCCAGGUGUAGCGGUGAAAUGCGCAGAUAUCGGGAGGAACACCAGUGGCGAAGGCGACUACCUGGCCUGUUCUUGACGCUGAGGCGCGAAAGCUAGGGGAGCAAACGGGG
rnacentral:rRNA from 1 species